rnacentral:rRNA from 1 species
GACGAACGCUGGCGGCGUGCCUAAUACAUGCAAGUCGAACGCAGUGGGGACGGGUGAGUAACACGUGGGUAACCUCCCAUCAGAGGGGAUAACACUUGGAAACAGGUGCUAAACCGAUACUGAGGGAUGAAGCAGGGGGGCAUUAGCUAGUUGGUGCGGUAACUGCUCACCAAGUCGACGAUGCAUAGCCGCCCGGAUAGGGUGAAAGGCCACACUGGGACUGAGACACGGCCCAGACUCCUACGGGAGGCAGCAGUAGGGAAUAUUCGGCAAUGGACGAAAGUCGGACAGAGCAACGCCGCGUGAGGGAAGAAGGUUUUCGGAUCGUAAAGCUCUGUUGUUAGAGAAGCGGUAUCUAACCAGAAAGCCACGGCUAACUACGUGCCAGCAGCCGCGGUAAUAC